UGCGUAGGCGGACUUGUAGGUGUGUCGUGAAAUCCCCCGGCUCAACCGGGGAACUGCGGUGCAAACCACAAGUCUUGAGGUAGGUAGAGGUUGUCGGAACGUUCGGUGGAGCGGUGAAAUGCGUUGAUAUCGAACGGAACGCCGAUGGUGAAGACAGGCAACUGGGCCUUACCUGACGCUGAGGCACGAAAGCGUGGGGAUCAAACA
rnacentral:rRNA from 1 species